rnacentral:rRNA from 1 species
GACAGAGGUCCCGAGCGUUAGGCGGAAUCACUGGGCUUAAAGCGUGUGUAGGCGGAUGCCUAAGUACCUUGUGAAAUCCCACGGCUCACCCGUGGAACUGCUUGGUAUACUGGGUGUCUUGAGCCACUUAGGGGCUACCGGAACAAAUGGUGGAGCGGUGAAAUGCGUAGAUAUUGGGAGGAACACCAGUGGCGAAGGCGGCUCACUGGACCGGAACUGACGCUGAGGCGCGAAAGCGUGGGGAGCAAACAGG